GAUGAACGCUGGCGGCGUGCUUACCACAUGCAAGUCGAGCGAAGCACUUUGGAAAGAUUCUUCGGAUGAUUUCCUUUGUGACUGAGCGGCGGACGGGGGAGUAACGCGGGGGUAACCUGCCUCAUACAGGGGGAUAACAGUUAGAAAUGACUGCUAAUACCGCAUAAAACCACGGUACCGCAGGGUACAGGGGUAAAAACUCCGGGGGUAUGAGAGGGACCCGCGUCUGAUUAGGUAGUUGGGGGGGUAACGGCCUACCAAGCCGACAAUCAGUACCCGACCUGAGAGGGUGACCGGCCACAUUGGGACUGAGACACGGCCCAAACUCCUACGGGAGGCAGCAGGGGGGAAUAUUGCACAAGGGAGGAAACUCUGAUGCACCGCCCCCGCGUGAAGGAUGAAGUAUUUCGGUAUGUAAACUUCUAUCAGCAGGGAAGAAAAUGACGGUACCUGACUAAAAAGCCCCGGCUAACUACGUG
rnacentral:rRNA from 1 species